AGGGAACCGCUCUCCCAGUGUGAAAAAUCUGUUACAUGGAUUACAUAGUUGAAGUCCAAUGUUUGCUUUUGAGCAAGAAUAGAAAAAAUGAGGUAUUAGAUAUAUAUGGCUUGAAUUCUCCCAGGCACAGACAAAGGAUGAUGAGAAGAAAAAGAGAAAAAUUAAAAGAAAAUGCUACGGUUCUCUACUGUAAAAUCCUAGGCAAAGGAGGAAGAAACUCAUAUUCAUGUAACUGAAGACUUUGUGGCAAUGUUUUAACUUUUAACAAGGUCACCGAGGGUGCAGUGAAGUGCCCAGAUCACUGGACCCAGUGUUGUAACAGCAAACCUUGUAACUGAUCCUGGCAGAAUGGAAGGAUGAGCCCAGAAGAUCAGAGCAAACACACAGAGUCCCUUGGCAACACCCACGAGCUGAAAGCUGACCUGCAAACAGUGAAAUGUGGUAUAUCUGUAACAGCUUUUCUAUAUCCUACAUCUAGAAAUGAUCUAAACAAAUGAGGAGAGAACAGAAGUACAGAAAUGUCUAAACAGAAAAAAACCCUAAAAAAUCACAAAAAGC